rnacentral:misc_RNA from 1 species
GAUGAAGAACGUAGCGAAAUGCGAUAAGUAAUGUGAAUUGCAGAAUUCAGUGAAUCAUCGAAUCUUUGAACGCACAUUGCGCCCAUUAGUAUUCUAGUGGGCAUGCCUGUUCGAGCGUCAUUUCAACCCUUAAGCCCCUGUUGCUUAGCGUUGGGAGCCUACAGCCUGCUGUAGUUCCUCAAAGUUAGUGGCGGAGUCAGUUCACACUCUAGACGUAGUAAAAUCUUUAUCUCGCCUAUAGAUGAGCUGGCGCCUUGCCGUAAAAAACCCCUAAUCUUUUACAAGGUUGACCUCGGAUCAGGUAGGAAUACCCGCUGAACUUAAGCAUAUCAAUAAGCGGAGGA